GAGAUGAUAUCCAGAACAGCUUACCUCUCUCCAGCCAGACAGCUGGCAAAUUCUGCACAGUAGGAAAAGGAGUCGGGAGUGUGGAUGGAAAUUCCUGCUUCCAGCAGCAUUCAAGAUUACAACCUUCGGUAUGUCUGCCGGCCCCUCUGGACACACACACAAGCUGUGGAGCCACAGACCUGCCUGCAAAGUGACUUUCAAGUGAGACCUAUUAGAAACAGCAAUUCCCUGCUUUAACGCAUUCGUUCUGGGCCACAGCCUUAUACAGUCAAGUAAUAUAAAGAGGCUCUGUCUCCUCAGAAUAGACUGUCCCGCCGUCAGGUCUGGAAGGUAAGUUUGUUAUUACGACGGAGAUUGAAUAACGUCC